GACCUGAUGGUGUAGCUGGUAACACGUCUCAGGCUGCUGGCUCUUGCCACUGUUCUGUAGAAAUUCUGUAGGAGUCCCUCGUUCGAACCGGGGUCGGGUCA